AUGGAGCUGGGUCCAAUAAGUGCCUCGUUAGGUGCCAUGCGCUCCCUUCCACGGAAGCUCCAUGAGCUCCUGGCGACCAAGCACCGGAUUCUGCGGGGGAUUGUGAUGGACGAGAUCGAGCAACUCACAGCUGAUCUUCGCAUCCAGUACAGCUUCAUGCUGGUGCUCUCAACUGCGCAGGACCCUGCUAUGAGUGCGAGGUACUGGAUGAAAGACGUGCGCGAGCUUUCCUAUGACAUGGAGGACUUUGCCGACCAAUUCAUCCAGGCGCAUGGUCGUUCGAAGAUUUUUUCUUUAAAGAGAAGGCAUCAUGCUCAUGGCCGCGCCAAGAUCCGUAGAGCUAUUUUGCGCAAGCUUAUUUAUCGGAUGAAAGACAUGGGCGAGCCGUCCUAUGACAUGGUGAAAUUUGUUGACCAAUUCAUCCAUGCUCAUGGCCGUGCCAAGAUCCGGCGAGCUACUUGCCGCAAGCUUGUUUCUCGGCUCAAGAUUAGCCGCCUUCCAGGCAGGCGGAGGUGGCGCUCAUGGAUCACCAACAUGGUCUCGGAAUUCAGGACUCGAGCGCAGGAGGCGACUCGGCGAUGCCAGAGGUACAAGUUGGAUGAUUGCGUCUCCAAUUCUGGAUAUUCUCGUAUUGGCCAUGAGCUUCCAACUAUGUUGCAAGAUCCUAGUGAUCUUGUUGGCAUAGAAGACGCGAUGGAUGAGCUUGAACGGUGGUUGACCGAUGGAAAAAAGCCCCUCAAGGUGGCGUCCAUCGUCGGUGUCGGGGGAAUCGGUAAGACCACUCUUGCCCAAAAAUUGUGGGGUAAACUCCAUGUACAAUUCGAGUGUGGGGCAUUUGUGAGGACAGCCCAAAAGCCCGAUAUGAGGGGUAUUCUCAGGAACAUACUCUUGCAAGUUCGCCCCCACCAACCACCGGACGCUGGAGAGAUGCACCACCUGAUCAACGACCUUAGACAAUACCUACAAGGCAAGAGGUAA
rnacentral:rRNA from 1 species